rnacentral:rRNA from 1 species
UGAACGCUAGCUACAGGCUUAACACAUGCAAGUCGAGGGGCAGCAUGGUCUUAGCUUGCUAAGGCUGAUGGCGACCGGCGCACGGGUGAGUAACACGUAUCCAACCUGCCGUCUACUCUUGGCCAGCCUUCUGAAAGGAAGAUUAAUCCAGGAUGGCAUCAUGAGUUCACAUGUCCGCAUGAUUAAAGGUAUUUUCCGGUAGACGAUGGGGAUGCGUUCCAUUAGAUAGUAGGCGGGGUAACGGCCCACCUAGUCAACGAUGGAUAGGGGUUCUGAGAGGAAGGUCCCCCACAUUGGAACUGAGACACGGUCCAAACUCCUACGGGAGGCAGCAGUGAGGAAUAUUGGUCAAUGGGCGAUGGCCUGAACCAGCCAAGUAGCGUGAAGGAUGACUGCCCUAUGGGUUGUAAACUUCUUUUAUAAAGGAAUAAAGUCGGGUAUGCAUACCCGUUUGCAUGUACUUUAUGAAUAAGGAUCGGCUAACUCCGUGCCAGCAGCCGCGGUAAUACGGAGGAUCCGAGCGUUAUCCGGAUUUAUUGGGUUUAAAGGGAGCGUAGAUGGAUGUUUAAGUCAGUUGUGAAAGUUUGCGGCUCAACCGUAAAAUUGCAGUUGAUACUGGAUGUCUUGAGUGCAGUUGAGGCAGGCGGAAUUCGUGGUGUAGCGGUGAAAUGCUUAGAUAUCACGAAGAACUCCGAUUGCGAAGGCAGCCUGCUAAGCUGCACUGACAUUGAGGCUCGAAA